CAGAAAAAUAGAACGCAUUACUAUUAAAGUUGAUAUGAACAUCAAUUAUAUGUUCAUCCUGAUACAAUUCAAAUGUGUCAAACAACCGUUCGCAUGAGUUCUCUCCCAGGCACGAAAACCAAGGUGGCCUCCGCAAGUCUUCAACUGCAUCUCCGAAUGACCACCCUCUGCUGGAUUUUUGUCAGACCUUUUCCGUGAGAAGCCCAUGUGAUUUCUCUCUCGGGAUCUCUCUCCAAUUUCCCGAAGAACCUUCCCCUCUCCAGAGAAAAAAAAAUUUCAUCACCACAUAAUCCCAGAUCUGCAACCGCUCGCCGAUUUUAUGGUGUUUCUCAUUCACCGGUGUCCUUCCACCAUCCUCAUAGUCGUCUGAUCAAAGUUGCGCCUAUUUCAGGUCCGUUCAAGGAUCACGAAGGAUUGUUUCUCUUUUUUUGUUGGUAGAUCUUUGACGCCGGCGACCCUUGUUCCCAUCUCCAUUUCUCGUGUCAAGAUUGUUAUGUUGUCGGUGGUGGGUUCUUCUUGUCCAAAGCCACCAGAUCCGGUGUUGCUGGUGAGUCUUGUGUCGCCUUCUGAUCCUCCAGAACCACCAGAUCCGCCAGACCCUAUCAACGAGUAAACUUCAACUUGGUCGUUGUCGUCCUCUGGCUUGCGUUAUCAAUGUGAACAAUUCUACGGAGAGUGGUAUUCUCUCCUCCUCUGAAGCUUGGCUUGUUCUCUUUGCUUGUGGUUAAAUAGUGUUUCAGAACCAGUUUGUCUUAAGCUUGAAUCUAUCAGAUACUUCUCCGAGUUUAUCAGACACUUCUCCGAGUUUACCGGAGACUUCUUCGGCCUCUCCUUGCUCCCUGUUGAGACAAAGUCAAUUUGUCCCUAGGUUAGAACCACAGUUGUUGGUUCGUUUUCUGUCCAAUUUCGACGGACUUGUUUAACCGGAUACUCGUCCAGUCUAAAGCUAUUUCUGUUGGUUCAAUCUUUGCUCCGAUCCCGCGAAUUUUUCUCACCGGACACUUCUCCGGCGUCUUCAUGUUCGUGUAUAAGGCAGAUCUUUUAACGUCACAAUGUAUGGUGAAUAUCUCUUUACCAGUCGAUGGUUAUGUGUUGAUUGCUACUUCUUUCAUGGGUAUUUUUGUGAUAGUUAUUCUUGACACUUCUCCUGGUGCUCUAUGAAGCUUUUUCAAGUUUGUGUCUUUAUGUUUAUCUUGUGGUUCAAUUAAUUUAUCUUUCAAAUUUGCUAUUCGUAUAUGUCUGAAUA